AGAGAAAGUAUGACGACUGAAUUUUAGGGCUUUUUAGGUUUGUGUUUUGCUAUUGCUGUCAUUUUAAUUAUCAUUUAGAGUCUCGUAGCUCAGCUGGUUAGAGCGCUACACUGAUAAUGUAGAGGUCGGCAGUUCGAGUCUGCCCGAGACUACUAUUAUGAUAAAUGGGAAUUUAGAGCUGUUAAUUCAUACAUACUGAAUUCUUUUCAGAAUGGGGAAUUAGCUCAGCUGGCUAGAGCACUUGAUUUGCAUUCAAGAGGUCGUGGGUUCGACUCCCACAUUCUCCACAAGUUUUAAACUGAACGUUCAUUGACAUAUUGAAAAAUUUAAUAUUACAAACACCAGUUAUCCAAUUAGUGUUUGUGAUAAUUAGAUACACAUAAAGUAUAAAAUAUAUAUAUGUAUAUAUAUGGAUAUACGAGCAAAUAAUAAUAAUAAUAAGUAAAUACAAUUUCAAAGAAAAGUAAAGUUAC
rnacentral:misc_RNA from 1 species